rnacentral:tRNA from 1 species
AGGGGUGUAGCUCAAGUGGCUAGAGCACCGGUCUCCAAAACCGGUGGCUGCGGGUUCGAGUCCUGCCACCCCUA